GGCGCUCGGGCCUCGGCGCGGAGCGGGGCGGCCGCGGGCAGCAGGAACCGCAGGGCUCGGUCGGCCGAAGUUGAGCGAACAAAAUGCGAAAGGCCGGUAGAGGACUGUGAAAGAAAAGUUAUCCCGCAGGAUGGACUUCACCGCGCAGCCCAAGCCUGCCACGGCUCUCUGUGGCGUCGUGAGUGCUGACGGAAAGAUCGCCUACCCUCCCGGAGUGAAGGAGAUCACCGACAAGAUCACUACCGACGAAAUGAUCAAACGACUGAAGAUGGUAGUGAAAACUUUCAUGGAUAUGGAUCAGGACUCAGAAGAUGAAAAACAGCAGUAUCUCCCACUAGCCUUGCAUCUUGCAUCUGAAUUCUUCCUCAGGAACCCUAAUAAGGACGUGCGUCUCCUUGUAGCAUGUUGUUUAGCUGACAUAUUUCGAAUCUAUGCCCCAGAAGCUCCAUAUACUUCCCAUGAUAAACUUAAGGACAUAUUUUUGUUUAUUACUCGACAAUUGAAAGGUUUGGAAGAUACAAAGAGUCCACAGUUUAAUAGAUACUUUUAUUUAUUAGAGAAUUUAGCUUGGGUUAAAUCAUAUAAUAUCUGCUUUGAAUUGGAAGAUUGCAAUGAAAUUUUUAUUCAGCUUUUUAGAACUCUCUUCUCAGUGAUCAACAAUAGCCACAAUAAGAAGGUACAAAUGCACAUGCUAGACUUGAUGAGUUCUAUCAUCAUGGAAGGUGAUGGAGUUACUCAAGAAUUAUUGGACUCCAUACUUAUUAACCUCAUACCUGCACAUAAGAACUUAAAUAAACAGUCCUUUGACCUUGCAAAAGUCCUCUUAAAGAGGACAGUUCAGACUAUUGAGGCAUGCAUUGCCAAUUUUUUUAAUCAAGUCCUGGUGCUGGGAAGAUCGUCAGUAAGUGAUUUGUCAGAACAUGUAUUUGAUCUCAUUCAGGAACUUUUUGCCAUAGAUCCUCAUUUGUUAUUAUCUGUCAUGCCACAGCUUGAAUUCAAACUGAAGAGCAAUGAUGGAGAAGAACGAUUAGCUGUAGUUCGACUUCUAGCUAAAUUGUUUGGCUCUAAAGAUUCUGAUUUGGCAACGCAGAAUCGACCUCUUUGGCAGUGUUUUCUUGGACGAUUCAAUGACAUUCACGUUCCUGUCAGAUUAGAAAGUGUGAAAUUUGCCAGUCACUGUUUAAUGAAUCACCCAGAUUUAGCAAAGGAUCUCACAGAAUAUUUGAAGGUUAGAUCACAUGACCCAGAAGAAGCUAUUCGUCAUGAUGUCAUUGUUACUAUAAUAACAGCUGCCAAAAGAGACCUUGCCUUAGUAAAUGAUCAGCUCCUUGGUUUUGUAAGGGAAAGAACACUGGAUAAACGGUGGCGAGUACGAAAAGAAGCUAUGAUGGGUUUGGCUCAAUUGUAUAAGAAGUACUGUCUUCAUGGUGAAGCCGGAAAAGAAGCUGCAGAGAAAGUCAGCUGGAUAAAGGACAAACUUUUGCAUAUUUAUUAUCAGAAUAGCAUUGAUGACAAGCUGUUGGUGGAGAAAAUCUUUGCUCAGUAUCUUGUUCCUCACAACCUGGAAACAGAAGAGAGAAUGAAAUGUUUGUAUUACUUAUAUGCUAGUUUGGAUCCAAACGCUGUAAAAGCUCUCAAUGAAAUGUGGAAGUGUCAGAAUAUGCUUCGGAGUCAUGUUCGCGAGUUACUGGAUUUGCACAAGCAGCCUACGUCAGAGGCUAACUGUUCUGCCAUGUUUGGAAAGCUGAUGACCAUAGCAAAAAACUUGCCUGAUCCUGGCAAAGCACAAGAUUUUGUGAAGAAAUUUAACCAGGUUCUUGGUGAUGAUGAGAAGCUUCGGUCUCAGUUGGAGUUAUUAAUCAGCCCUACCUGUUCAUGCAAACAGGCAGAUGUUUGUGUGAGAGAAAUAGCUCGGAAACUUGCUAAUCCUAAGCAACCAACAAAUCCUUUCCUAGAGAUGGUCAAAUUUCUGUUGGAAAGAAUUGCACCUGUGCACAUUGAUUCAGAAGCCAUAAGUGCACUAGUAAAAUUGAUGAACAAGUCAAUAGAAGGGACUGCAGAUGAUGAAGAGGAGGGUGUAAGUCCAGAUACAGCUAUUCGUUCAGGACUUGAACUUCUUAAGGUUCUGUCUUUUACACAUCCUACCUCGUUCCACUCUGCAGAGACAUAUGAGUCCUUGUUACAGUGCCUAAGAAUGGAGGAUGACAAGGUAGCAGAAGCUGCCAUACAGAUUUUUAGAAAUACAGGCCACAAAAUAGAAACAGACCUUCCUCAGAUACGAUCGACCUUAAUUCCCAUUUUACAUCAAAAAGCAAAGAGGGGUACUCCACACCAAGCAAAACAGGCCGUGCACUGUAUACAUGCCAUAUUCACAAAUAAAGAAGUCCAGCUUGCACAGAUUUUUGAGCCACUCAGUAGGAGUCUGAAUGCUGAUGUACCAGAACAACUUAUAACUCCGUUAGUUUCAUUGGGCCACAUUUCCAUGUUAGCACCAGAUCAGUUUGCUUCCCCAAUGAAAUCUGUAGUAGCAAAUUUUAUUGUGAAAGAUCUACUAAUGAAUGACAGGUCAACAGGUGAAAAGAAUGGCAAAUUGUGGUCUCCAGAUGAAGAAGUUUCUCCUGAAGUACUAGCAAAGGUACAGGCAAUUAAACUUCUGGUAAGGUGGCUGUUGGGUAUGAAAAACAACCAGUCUAAAUCUGCCAAUUCAACUCUUCGCUUGUUAUCGGCAAUGUUGGUUAGUGAGGGUGACCUGACAGAGCAAAAGAGGAUCAGUAAAUCUGAUAUGUCUCGCUUGCGAUUAGCUGCUGGUAGUGCCAUAAUGAAGCUUGCUCAGGAGCCUUGUUACCAUGAAAUUAUUACUCCAGAACAGUUUCAGCUCUGUGCACUUGUUAUUAAUGAUGAGUGUUACCAAGUAAGGCAGAUAUUUGCUCAGAAGCUGCAUAAGGCACUUGUGAAGCUGCUCCUCCCAUUGGAGUAUAUGGCAAUCUUUGCCUUGUGUGCCAAAGAUCCUGUGAAGGAGAGAAGAGCACAUGCACGGCAAUGUUUACUAAAAAACAUCAGUAUAAGAAGGGAGUACAUUAAGCAGAACCCUAUGGCUACUGAAAAAUUGUUGUCGCUGUUGCCUGAAUACGUGGUUCCAUACAUGAUUCACUUGCUUGCCCAUGAUCCAGAUUUUACAAGAUCACAAGAUGUUGAUCAGCUUCGUGAUAUCAAAGAGUGCCUAUGGUUUAUGCUUGAAGUUUUAAUGACAAAGAAUGAAAACAAUAGCCAUGCCUUUAUGAAGAAGAUGGCAGAAAACAUUAAAUUAACCAGAGAUGCCCAAUCUCCGGAUGAAUCCAAGACAAAUGAAAAACUAUAUACAGUAUGUGAUGUGGCUCUGUGUGUCAUAAACAGUAAGAGUGCUCUGUGUAAUGCAGACUCACCAAAGGAUCCAGUCCUCCCAAUGAAGUUUUUCACUCAACCUGAAAAGGACUUUUGUAAUGACAAGAGUUAUAUUUCAGAAGAGACAAGAGUACUUCUGUUAACAGGAAAGCCAAAACCUACUGGAGUACUGGGUGCAGUAAAUAAGCCUCUAUCAGCAACAGGAAGGAAACCCUAUGUUAGAAGCACUGGCACUGAGACUGGGAGCAAUGUCAGUGUAAAUUCAGAACUGAACUCCUCAACAGGAAAUCGAGCAAGGGAACAGAGUUCCGAGACACCAGAGACUGGAGUUAGUGAAAAUGAAGAGAAUCCUGUGAGAAUUAUUUCUGUAACACCUGUAAAGAAUAUUGAGCCAGUAAAGAAUAAGGAAAUUAAUUCUGAUCAGGCUACCCAGGGCAACAUCAGCAGUGACCGAGGAAAGAAAAGAACAGUCCCAGCAGCUGGUGCAGAGAAUAUCCAACAAAAAACAGAUGAGAAAAUAGAUGAAUCAGGACCACCCGCCCCUUCUAAACCCAGGAGAGGACGUCGACCCAAGUCUGAGUCUCAGGGCAACACAACCAAAAAUGAUGAUAUAAACAAACCCACAAGCAAGGGAAGGAAAAGAGCUGCUGCAAGUCAGGAGAGCCCUGGGGGUCUGGAAGCCAAUAAUGCCAAAGCGCCCAAACUGCAAGACGGAGCCAAAAAGGCAGCACCCACAGAGAGACAAAUCGACCUGCAGAGGUAAAAGACAACUCAUUUGCAGAGGGAAAAAUGAAGGCCCAACAGAAGUGUUUGCAGCUUCUGCGAAGACUUGCAUUCGGAAUGUCCCUACAGAACAUGGAGUUCACUUACGAACACACCCUCCGCCUUGCAGACUGAGAGAAGCCCCGCUCCCUCUCCCCGAGGCAGAGCCCGGGAGGAAAUGUGCAGCGAGAGCGCUCACAACAGAGGCUCAAAGCAGCUCUGCACUCCCCUAGACUUUUCCCAGGAAAAGUCAAUAAUUAAGCAAAUUGCUUAACACUUGGUUCCAGUUCCUGCAUAUCUGGAGUUUAAAUGCAUAAUACAUCAUUAAUUUCCAUGCUGCAGUUUUUAUUUUAAAGUAACAAGAUGUCCUUAUAUUGACACUGAAAAUUCAUCUAUUCUAAAGCCAGGAAUUUCCAUGUCACACAAGAAAAUAGAAGUCUACUGAAUUUUUUUUUAGAAGAAAAGAUCAGAUUAAAUAUUUCUUUGUUUUUCCUUUUGGAAACUUUUAUGUAUAAUUCUUUCUGCCUGUCUACUUUUCUGCAAAAAAUGAGGUGUACAGAUUUUCAGUUCCCUGCUAUGAAAAGUGAUGUGGUAGCAAUUUUAUAAAUGUUGCUUUCUGAUUUUUAUCAGAGUGAGAAAAUAAUUAAAGUUAUUGAUUUGCAAGUAGUAAACUUCAUAUUUUGAUUUUCCCUCCAUUUUAGUUUAAUAUAAUUUGCAACAAAUGUACAUAUUGUGUUUCAUAAAACAUUAAAAAGAUUUUUAGUCCCAUGACCAUGAUGGAAUAUUGGAAUUUUGAUGAAGACUGUUCAACAUUUGGUUUUACAUUUGUCACCAAAUUUUAUUAAAAAAAAAAAAAAAAAUCAAUUUUUUUUCUAACUAGUUGGACUCUGGCAGCUUUGUAAGGGAAGUUGGAGGUGUUUAGGGCCGCUCUCAAUUUGCAGCUUUGUGCUAUUGAGAGAUAUGUGUUCAGUUUUUGUCUGCUGGUCUGGGCUCAGUUCCUAUCUUUAUUUUAGAAACACCUAUUGCAGUACAUUACAUUUCUUGGCAUUGUCAGCAUAGGCAAUAUGUGCACUUUUGGGUGCGCACUCAUAUUUAAAUUUUUUUGCAUAAAAUAAAUGCUUCUAGAUAUCAUGACAGUCUUUUAAUCUUUUUAUCAUAUUAUGCU